GGAUGUGAGGGCUAUCUGGUUGUGACAUCUGUCACCCCACUGAUCGCCAGGAUUGAUUGGGCUGAUCUGGCUGGCUAGGCAGGUGUCCCCUUCCUCCCUCACUGCUCCAUGUGUGUCCCUUCCAAAGCUGUGCACUCAGUAGAAGACGGCCUUCCCCGAAUAGAGACAGACCGGUCUUUGGUGGAGGGUAUAUGAGUAGCUGCGCCCCCCUGCUAGGACCUCCAAACAAGCUCUCUGAGUGGAUGGCACAAUGGAUUGUGCCUUGGGAGAAGUCUAUAUGCACCUACCAUGGUGGUUAAAUUCUUG
ensembl:misc_RNA 7SK 7SK RNA